UUGAUUGCUUCUUGUUUCCUCGGGGUUUUGGCUUUGUCUGUGACCGCCUCCCUCGUCUUCGCAGAUUACGAGAGAAAUCUACACUAAAAAUAAUAAUCAAAUAAUCAAUAAUUACGUGCGGUAUUUACAAAUAUCACAGGUCAACUAUAAUAUAUUUGUAUAACCGGAUAUAGGAGUACUCCGAUGAUCGAAUUUAAAGGAGUUGGCGAUUAAAUGAAUUUUAGCUAAAAACAUGAAAUUAAAGAAUCCAAACAAUUACUCGCUAUAUACUAUAGUACGAUAAUCCAUUCAACAGUUUUAAUUAUACUAAUUACUUAACUAGAAUUCGCAAAUGACUAAAUUGUAAAGAAAAAGAUUACACAACUAUCAAAUACGAGCAAAGACGAUAACAAAGAGCGAUCAAUUGAAUUCCGAAUUAGGGAUCUAAAUUAUUAUUACUCCUAAAUUGACUCCAUUUUACAUCUCGACCUUAACUUUACCAAAUUAGACAAAUUAGUUCGAUUAAUCUCUCGACCUCACCGACUAACCCAGGACUUAUUAAAUUGGUGCCCAAUAAGAUCUCCUCUCAGUCUCACUUAUCUUGAUUUUCCUUUAGGGGAGUCAAUCCUAAGUUUUUAAGUCUAUUUGAUUUAGCCCAUUUUUGCAAUUUAGUUCCCGAACCCAGAAAUCAUUUACCCAACAUUUCCAUCAACCAACCCCUAAAUAUUUAGGUACUCAUACUCAUAUUAAAACCCAUAAUCAGCAAGAAAUCAACAAGAAAAUUAAUAAAAACUCCCAACUUUCUUGCAAAAGCUUGGAUACAACAACAAUGGCACCAAGAAAAGUAAACAAAAGCUCAACACAAGAGUAUACAAUAAGGAACUUGUGUCAGGCCGUGUGUUAGGCUGUGUAACUCACUGACUUGUAGCUUAAGGAACUUAUCAAAUAACACACGAGGUCACUGGGCAGAGCAGUUAGAUGAAUUGCUUUCAAAAAGAGUAUACAAUAAGGAGUUUUCAAUCAUGGUACUUCUUGUGAACUGACUUUGUGACUUAGUAAUUCUGAAUUAUCAUAACAAUACUUUUGGAUAUAAUUGCAAUCACUAGAACCUAAUUGUAUAUGUUUGAUUGGUUCAUCCGUUAGCUCAACAAAAGCUUGAUCGGACUGCAUUUGAAUCAAAGAAAAUUUUACGACUUUGGGAAUAAUUUAAUUGAGUUGAUUUAUUCGAUGUGGAAUUAAAUUAGGUAGUCGUAAUCGUAAGAAUUGUUCAACUAGAUAAUUUGAUUAAAGAAUUUUCUUGAAAAAUUAAUUUAAAAAAAUUAAGUGAUUUUUGGAAAAUUUUGAUAAAGUAAAAUUAAAUUAAUCAAAUCAAUUACAAUUAAUAUGAUAUUUUUAGAAGUUAAUUUUCAAGUCAAACAAUUGGCCCAAUGGGUAAUUAAACUUGAUAAUUGGAGUUGAGAUCGUAAAUUGGGCCUAAGAGCCCAAAACCGAGACCAAGACCCAAAAAUUGGUCGAACCGGGCCUGGUAUGCGAAACAGGACCGACGAUCCAACCGAUGGCUAAACUGGACCAGUCGGGUCGUCAUUGACUCGGAUUGAACUGGCAGCAGUUAAACCGACUCAAGGUGUCGUAAGGGUGUCGAAUCUGCAUCUGGACACGGCGACACCAGUGGCCGGCGGCAGUUGGUAAUCGGUGGUUGAGCAGUGGAAGAGUUACACUCGUAUUGGGACUCUACCAGAGAAUUUGAUUUCAGAUUAAUUCUUCCAAAAAGUAAUAUUAUUUUAAUAGUUUAAUAUUAAAUUUAAUAUAAUACUUAUCUUAAUAGUACUUUAUUAAUUUAAUAUUAAAGUGAUUAUCUUAAUAUUAAAUUUAAUUUAAUGUUUAUCUACAAGAUAAACAUUCUAUAAGAUUUAAUAGUAUUUUAUUAAUUUAAUAUUAAAGUGAUUAUCUUAAUAUUUAAUUUAAUUUAAUGUUUAUCUACAAGAUAAACAUUCUAUUAUUUUAAUAAGAUUUAAUAUUAAAUUAAUAUAAUAUUUAUUUAUAUUAAUUUAAUAUUAAGGUGAUUAAGUUUAAUCACAGUUAUUAAGGUGAUUAAGUUUAAUCACAGUUAAACUCUCUAAACUCUCCCUAUAUAAAGAAAGCCUUGGGUUAUUAUUUUCGCACACUUGAAUUUGAAUUUUAAGAGAAAGUUGUAGGGAGAAAAUUUUCUGAAGAGAUUAUUCCAGAAAAUUUCUAGAGAUUUUUUUGAUUUACAACUUAAUUCAAAAGUUUAGAGAAAUUGCAAAAUUACACCACUGAUAAUUUUUGUGAAAAAUUUUUUAAUUCGAAGCGAGCCCACACUCGGCAAACGUGAGCUUGAGGAUAGAGAAAAAGACUACUUGGGCAAAGUGCUCAUCCUAAACGAAUCAAAAAGGUACAACUUUGAUUAAGUGUUUAUUACUGUAGAUGUCACAACCAAGAUCUUGUUUUGAAAAAAUUUUUAACUCUAGUUUUUCCCUAAAUUUAUUUUUCGCUGUGUUUUCUAAACUCAUUUUCCAACACCAAUAGCAUUGAAAUAAUUAAAUACAUAAUAUCAUAAAUCAAGUAUAUCAAGGGUAAAAAGAGAGAUACUCUUACAGACUAAGAUUGAGCAAUGUUGGAUUUCAUUGUAUCUCGUGUGGUGUUCUAGGGAUGUAAAAUUUAGAAAUCCCUGAAGUCUUGCCUCUAACGGCAUUGUAUAGGUAUGCCCUCGCUGGUCGCGCCUAUUAUCUCUAAGUGGUUGAUACUUUUCUUCGACCAGUCUAUUUGGCGGACUGGGUAUACUAACAGUUUUAGUACUGAUGUCUGGUGUUGAUACAGGCUCUUCACUUAAUUGGUGUGACGAUUGCUAUCGAGCACGUGUGGUGGCUACCCUUGUUUGGCACAUAGGAGGUUGCUUGUGUUGAUUCAAAGGUUUUGCGCCAUGAUAAUCAAAGGUGCUAGUUCCGUCUGAAUGUCCUGUUGGAUAUGUUAGCAAUGAAAAAAUCGGUUGGAGAUUCGAGACGUCGUACCUUACCCCGUCGGAAGUAUCUGAACUAAUUUGUAGAUUUUCUACCUCAUCCAGUGUUGAGCUCCUUCAACAGCGGUGUUGACUUGGUCCAACAGCUUGUAUCGGUGGUGGUGGAGACGAUUUUAAAUCUUCGUCAUUAAUGUUGAUAACAGGUGGUGCUAAAAAUCGUUUGCGACCUCGAUUACGAGAAACUGAGAAACCGUCGAUUGCUUGAUUUCUAGUACGAACCAUGGUCGGUGUUUGGGUUGAGAAGCAAAUGAUGGCAUUUGUUACGGCGAUUCACGGUGCCUUUUUAGGAUUUCGAGGAGCGACGUUUUUAGUGUUUUGGGCAGUGUUGGCGUUUAGGUUUUGGAGCAGUGUAGCGACAUUUGAAGUGUGAUGGUGUGGGUUAAAGGGCGGAGCUGUUUAUGGUAGUAGGUGUGGUGGUUGGGUGUUUUGAGGAUGUGGGAUGGUGGUGUUUGGGUUUGAAGCAGUGGCGGUUCUUAUAGGAAAAGGUGUGGCGACGGUUAGGUAGGAGAAGGAGAGGUGAACGAUGGUGUUUGGUGGCAGUUCUUUGAAGGACGAAUGUGACUAUUCCAUAUUUCGGAGAGAUAAUAAAUACCGUGUUGUAAGAUUUUAGUGCGGAUUCAUUUAUCACGAUUCUCGACCGGAGCGAUGACAGGACCAAAGCUAAAUGGGGUUUAGUUGAGCAUGAAAUUUAUCAUGCUUUGUUGGAUGAUGAGAACGACUUUAAAUGUAAUAGUGAUUGGUGAAAAGGAGAGGGGACUUAAAGAACAAUUGCACCAAAAUAAGGGAACAAAAAAAAUGGCAGUAAGCUUGAUAAGCUACAGACACGUGAAAAGGGAAAAGAAAAAAAUUGUUUUCA
rnacentral:lncRNA from 1 species